rnacentral:tRNA from 1 species
GGGCCCAUAGCUCAACGGUAGAGCGUCCGGCUCAUAACCGGCUGGUUCCUGGUUCGAAUCCGGGUGGGCCCACCA